UGCUGGUCACCAGAGUGGCAUCUGGAGAAGACUGGGUCCAGGGUUGAGGUCAUCCAGGUCAGCCCCGGCUUGGCACUUCGACUAAUUGAUCUUGCCAAGGAAGAUGGUUAAGAUGCGAAGGUUGAUUUAUUUGAGGACACGUGUGUCAACCUCAUCCCACAGAAGAAAGCAGAGCACAGAAGAAAAGAGAAUGUAUGCUUUGCUGGCCUGAGCUGUUACUUAAGAGGUUUCUUUGGGGACCUCCAAGAUCAAAAGCCAUGAGGUUUAGACACAUCUGGAUUCCUAAGCCACAGAAUAAGAAUUUUGAAAUGUAUUCAAGGAGUACCCCGUUCC